GCAAGUCGAGCGAACGGACGAGAAGCUUGCUUCUCUGAUGUUAGCGGCGGACGGGUGAGUAACACGUGGAUAACCUACCUAUAAGACUGGGAUAACUUCGGGAAACCGGAGCUAAUACCGGAUAAUAUUUUGAACCGCAUGGUUCAAAAGUGAAAGACGGUCUUGCUGUCACUUAUAGAUGGAUCCGCGCUGCAUUAGCUAGUUGGUAAGGUAACGGCUUACCAAGGCAACGAUGCAUAGCCGACCUGAGAGGGUGAUCGGCCACACUGGAACUGAGACACGGUCCAGACUCCUACGGGAGGCAGCAGUAGGGAAUCUUCCGCAAUGGGCGAAAGCCUGACGGAGCAACGCCGCGUGAGUGAUGAAGGUCUUCGGAUCGUAAAACUCUGUUAUUAGGGAAGAACAUAUGUGUAAGUAACUGUGCACAUCUUGACGGUACCUAAUCAGAAAGCCACGGCUAACUACGUGCCAGCAGCCGCGGUAAUACGUAGGUGGCAAGCGUUAUCCGGAAUUAUUGGGCGUAAAGCGCGCGUAGGCGGUUUUUUAAGUCUGAUGUGAAAGCCCACGGCUCAACCGUGGAGGGUCAUUGGAAACUGGAAAACUUGAGUGCAGAAGAGGAAAGUGGAAUUCCAUGUGUAGCGGUGAAAUGCGCAGAGAUAUGGAGGAACACCAGUGGCGAAGGCGACUUUCUGGUCUGUAACUGACGCUGAUGUGCGAAAGCGUGGGGAUCAAACAGGAUUA
rnacentral:rRNA from 1 species